GUAAAAUCCCUCGUCUCUCACGCUCAUACAGCAUUUUUAUGGCAUGGAACUGCCAGCAUGUCUCAGUGUUUCUUCCAUGACUGUUUGCUGGUUCAGUUUCAGCCUGGUGUUGUUCAUUUUUCAGACUCUCAGCCUGGCGCUUGACCUCACACUGUGGUGACAGGUCCAAAGUACCAGUCUCCACACUCGAUGCAAAUGCAGUGGUGGAAGACAUCAAGCUGAUGAGAGCUGGAAGGGCUAUGGUAAGGGGAAGACUUGUUUACCAGAGGCUGGAUUACUCAGGCUCUAACAUGAAUGUCAUAAAGAUGCCACCCAUCUGAAAUGUCCUGUCCAGUAUGAAAUAUAUGUUCACUUUGAUGCUUAGACCUUCAAACACAAUCCCACAAUGAUCUAUCCUGCCAUGUAAGCUUUAAGGCUGAACUUCAAUUUGUUUUCCACAGAAAAAUGAAAACAUGAUAUUGUCCUGACAGAACUUCCUGAAGUACAUGCAACCAUCCUUGUGCCUGAAUACCUGACCAUUUACAGGAAGUGUUGAUUGGUUUGAGGUAGUGACAAGGAUUUAAUAGAAAUUUUACUUCAGAGGCUUCUAGAGCCAGGAUCUACUGAAAUGGAAGGACCAUCUGUGAGGUUACUGAAAAUGAUCCAGAAAAAAGUACUGGAAGGUGAGAGAAGAUAUUUUUUCAUAACAUGUAAAUGUGUAUUUGCAUUUAAAAGCAAUAAGACCCUCCUGUUCCUGUGUUUCCCAAGUUUACAACCUUUACCAUUCCUCUAAUAGAGUUUGUGGGUUUUUUUGUUGUUUUUUUUUUGUUUGUUUGUUUGUUUGUUUGUUUUGUUGUUGCUGUUGUUGUUUUGUUUGGUUUGGUUUGUGUUUUUUUUUAAUUUUAUUUAAUUUUGUUUUGUUUUGUUUUUCUUUCUUCCUCUGACAGUAACAGGGAAAAGUAUGUUUAGUUUCCCUUCACAUCAAGCUGGUGAACUUACGUUUCAAGAAAGAACUUAGAUGUAUUGAAAUCAUCUUUUUUGCUGCAAUUAACCAACUGGCAGAAGGACUAUAGAUAUAUCACAGGCACAUACAGAGAAUUUCUGAACAUCCUGAAAGAAUAGCAUGUAGUUUUCCUUGUCCAACAAAGGCACAAUGGACCUGAUUUAUCUUUUAGAACUAUCUAAGGAAAUACACUGAAUCUGGGUUUAUUUAUACUGAGAUUACUUCCUAGUGGUAAAAUACAUUAAUGUGCCCUUAAAUUGAUGGUUAAUUGACCUUAAAAUGAUGGAUAAAAUGGCUUUAGUGACUUAUGUGAAUAAAGAGAAUCCAGUAUAUUUUGGCAACUUCUUAUUCCAGAAACAUUUUAUUUUAUUUUACUUUAUAUGAACAGUUUAAUUUGCAUGCUGAACACCAAGAAUUUUCUCACAUAUUAAUAAAGGGAUGAAAACCAAGUGAAAUUACAGGCACAGAUCUAGACAUCUGUCCUGCAGAAGCAGAACAUGUUGCUUGCAUGCAGUUUAGCAAAUCAUACUUAUCUUCUAUAAACUAAGCCUCAUGCCUAAGUGUCUGUGACCUCAGUGAUUUCGUUCUCCUUAUAAAGCCAUUAACACUUCAAAUGAUUCAUAAUUUGCUAAAUCUGAAUACAGAAAUGUUAGAAAUAAUUCAACUUAUUUUUAUUUUAUUUUGUUUUAUUGAAAUAAAAAAUGCCAGUGCUCAAGUCCAAUACCUACAUUAAGCAAAUCCUAGGUGAAAGAUUUUAAUAAAACCCUGUUUUAACAUUCCCAGGGAUAAUUUCUUCUUUCCUUGAAAGUAAUUAAAAAAAAAAAAAACAAAAAAAAAACAAAAAAACAAACAAAAAAAACAACGGUUGUUUUCAGAUAGAAAUUCAUGAGCAUUCUGGCAUUUUUAAUGUUUUUAAACUUUUUUCAACCUGUGCAAAUUCUCAUGAAAUAGAAAAACAUUUCUUAUUCAUCUGAAUUAUAGAGUAUUCAUAGGAUAAUUCCAUUCAGAAAAUGAUGGAAAACACAGCAAGCGACCUCAGAGAAUCACUCAGCAUACUGAAUUUCCUCUUGAUAUAGCAGAGAGCAAUUAGAUUUUUAGAAGAAAGAAAAUAUCUAUUACCUGUUCGUACUGUUAAUGGUCACAUCCACAAUCCAAUACAUUUAAACAGUUCCAAGUGAUUUAAUAAUUGCCAUUCUCUUACAAAAAUAGCAAUUUUCUCAUACCCUUACAAUAUGGAAGUAGUUUUCUAGUGUGAAUGUCUGCAUCUGCAAUUAUUCAUAUUCAGUGACUUGAAUUUUUAUAAAAGGUUUUUCUGGCAAAUCAGUUUAACUCAGUUUGUAAUCCUACUUUGUAAUUUAAAAAAUUGAAUGAAUGUUUCUAGAAGCCUUCUUCAGACUCCAUUUAUAGCAUGGGAACCAUAAGGGGACUGAUUUCCCAUCCCACUGAAUAUAGUAGUAGAUUUUUACUUGGAUUAAACUCUUCGUGAAAAUAGUUCUUGUAUGGAAUAGCCUUCAGAAAGGAGCGAGUGCCACAAAGCCCUGGAACAACAUAUUACAAGCACAACAGUGUUUCCAAACUACCACUUCUCUGUGCUUUCUUCUUCUUUAUAGUUGACCACAGCUAGGACAAUACCAAGUAACUUAGCUCCACUAAAGCCAAUUUUGUAUUUUAUUUCCAUAUUUUAAGAAAAAGACACUGUGUUAUCCUGUUUGUAGCUCAAAUACAGACAUAGAACCAAAUCUUUAAUUGCAUACACAGUUAUUGCAUUGCUCAUAAAACAUUUUUUUACAGAAAUCUUUAUUCAUGUGGAUUUUAGUACAGCCACAUAAUACAGUUCACUUAAAGAAAGAAAGCAAAAGUACAUUUUUUUUUAUAUCUGUGUGAGUGUCAGAAAAUCAGCUUUCUUAAUGAUGAUGAAAGAAAUAUAUGAUAUAUACCCUAUUCACUUCAAUUUGUUCACUAUUCAAAUAAUUCUUUUCUUGUCCUAUUUUUGUCCUGGUUAACUCAUUUUAAAAUUCAAUAGUCUCAUUUUGUCUAAAAAUCACACUCAUCUUUCUCUCAGUUUUGACUUCCCAAUCCCACAUUUUACUUGUGAACUAUGGAUACUAUUAUGUGUUCAGUGUUGCAACUUCUGUACCAAUAAAAAUCUGGAUCAGAAACAGCUUCUGAUCUCUCUCCCAAGGACAGUAAUGCUUGAUUAAAUUCUCUAUAUGCCUUGCUGAAAUGUCACUUGGGAUAUGAUUGCCCAGUGUUCUCUGCCCAAGUGCAUUGCAAGACCACCAUUUGGCUCAGUAAAAUUCCUGCAUGGGAGGAGGCUCUUAGUUUGCCUACACAGCAGUAUUUAUGUCUGUUUAAGGGCAAAAUCAUUCUGUUAGAUUAGUGCAGUGAUCUAGACAGAUGGACAGAGCCAGUGGUACCAAGGCAGUCUCCAUCUCAGUGCAGUCCCUAAGGCCCUCAAUAGCUGAGCAAGGUCAAAACAGCAAACUGAAACUGUGUCAGGAUCAGGUUUAAAGCUAUCCCUGAGGCACAUACUUCAUCCAUCUCUCCCAUCCACAGAAAAAGUGGGUGAAACUCGUAUAAGAGGUUCCUGAGGGAUGCUUGGGAAAAAGGGAGCACAUGUAAGAAAAGAGCUUUUGUUUUUGUGUUUCUGAAGGUUGAAGUAUUUCUGUAUUUCCUAUGUUAUAAAAGAAGAUAAAAAAUGCUUAGUGUAACAUUAAAGUUAAUCAUAUUUUUCCUUUUGAUUCUAUUGAGCUUUGCAAUAUUUCUGUAAUACCCUAAGUAGCACAGUAUGGAAUGUUUGAUUAUAUUUUAAGAUCACAGUGUUUACUGUAUUUUUUACAAACACUCAGCUGUUGCAUUCAUAUUUUUAUGUCUAUAUCUCGUACCACACUAGUUAUCUCAUAACACAUGUAGUAAUUUGGAACAGUUCUUGGUCCUGUGCUAUUUAAGAUAAAGAAAAAAGAGAGAAGAAACAACAAAAUUGUGGCAAGUAAGGAGAACAUGUCACUGUUGCAGAGUGACCUGGAUCAUUUGCAUGGGCAUAAGCAACAAUAUGUAUUCCAGUAUGUGCAAAUGCAUCUCUUAGGGAAAUGUUUUUGUCUUAUCUCCUGGCUGUAUGACCACCAUCAUCUUUAAAUGAUGAAACAUUAGAACUAAAGUUAGACUAUAAUUAACAUUCACAUUUGAUCAGAAAUGAAUGGCAGAAAAACAAGUUAAAUUUUUUUUAAUAAUCUUGAGUAUCCACGGAAAACAGAAAUCUGGUAAAGAACUGCUCAGUCAAGUUGUUAAAAUACCUGAAAAAGUAAGAGAAAAGAUUUUAGAUGUUUUUAUGCAUCUUUACUAGCAAGAGUACUUAGCUUACCAAUGGCUGUGAUGUAGUAUUGUUCUAAUAGUUUGCAAGUAGAUCAUUUUACAAAAAAUUAGGUACUAUUUCAGACACAAAUUAAGAGAAGUCCUGCAGCCUCCAUUUAAAAAAAAACAAAAACAAAAACAUUUGAUUCUCUUACAGCAUGAAUUUUACAGUCUAAAUCUUAAAUCUUCUCAUUGUAAUCAACAUCAACAUGAAGUGCUCCAUACACUCUGUUAGGCACAAGAAGAGGAAACAUGGCUUGCCAAAGCUUGCACUAAAAUGUUUCUUUCAAAGGGAAGCUUUUAUAAACUUCCAUUCAAAACAAGCAAGCAACUAAAAAACAAAUAAACAACAAACACUAAAAUUCUCAACUGGUAUAAAUUGGCCUGUUGACUUUAUUGGAGCUCUACCAAAUUAUAUGUACUGAUGAUUUGGCUUGUGAAUCUUAAACUGUGGGAUAAAACAGGAACUCUCAAAAGGUAGAGGUAAACAAAAUAAUUUUUAGACAGUAAUUAGUCUUCUAAACUUCAAGAACCUUAAUGAGCUGCAAGCAACUGAGCUUCCUUUAUUUCAAUGCACUGCUCCUCAUGUUUCAUGCUACUUUAUUAGAUUAGCU
rnacentral:lncRNA from 1 species